rnacentral:sRNA from 1 species
UCUUCAUACCCUUUUGUGAACACUACCCCAUUGCCGCGCGUUGCCUCGGCGGGGAGGUCCGGGUGGGCCGCGCUCCGGCGCCCCCCCCGGGCCCCCGCCGGCCGCGCCGAACUCUUCAUUUGCAAAGCGGACUGUACGUUCUGAUUACAUCUUGAAAAACAAGUCAAAACUUUCAACAACGGAUCUCUUGGUUCUGGCAUCGAUGAAGAACGCAGCGAAAUGCGAUAAGUAAUGUGAAUUGCAGAAUUCAGUGAAUCAUCGAAUCUUUGAACGCACAUUGCGCCCGGCAGCAAUCUGCCGGGCAUGCCUGUCCGAGCGUCAUUUCUGCCCUCGAGCGCGGUUCGGCCCCUAGCGGGCCGGCCGCCGCCCGGUGUUGGGGCGGCUGCGGGCCCUCGUGCCCGCAGGCCCUGAAAUGAAGUGGCGGUCCCGCCGCGGCGCCCCCUGCGUAGUAGUAAAGCACCUCGCAUCGGGUCCCGGCGUAGGCCAGCCGUCGAACCU